rnacentral:rRNA from 1 species
CGUAGGGUGCAAGCGUUGUCCGGAAUUAUUGGGCGUAAAGAGCUCGUAGGCGGUCUGUUGCGUCGGCUGUGAAAACCCGGGGCUCAACCCCGGGCCUGCAGCCGAUACGGGCAGACUAGAGUUCGGCAGGGGAGACUGGAAUUCCUGGUGUAGCGGUGAAAUGCGCAGAUAUCAGGAGGAACACCGGUGGCGAAGGCGGGUCUCUGGGCCGAUACUGACGCUGAGGAGCGAAAGCGUGGGGAGCGAACAGGAUAGAUACCCUGGUAGUCCACGCCGUAAACGUUGGGCGCUAGGUGUGGGUUCCCUUCCACGGGAUCCGUGCCGCAGCUAACGCAUUAAGCGCCCCGCCUGGGGAGUACGGCCGCAAGGCUA